rnacentral:rRNA from 1 species
CCUACGGGGUGCAGCAGUGGGGAAUAUUGGGCAAUGGGCGCAAGCCUGACCCAGCAACGCCGCGUGAAGGAAGAAGGCUUUCGGGUUGUAAACUUCUUUUCUCAGGGACGAAGAAAGUGACGGUACCUGAGGACUAAGCCACGGCUAACUACGUGCCAGCAGCCGCGGUAAUACGUAGGUGGCAAGCGUUAUCCGGAUUUACUGGGUGUAAAGGGCGUGUAGGCGGGAAAGCAAGUCAGAUGUGAAAACCAUGGGCUCAACCUGUGGCCUGCAUUUGACACUGUUUUUCUUGAGUACUGGAGAGGCAGACGGAAUUCCUAGUGUAGCGGUGAAAUGCGUAGAUAUUAGGAGGAACACCAGUGGCGAAGGCGGUCUGCUGGACAGCAACUGACGCUGAGGCGCGAAAGCGUGGGGAGCAAACAGGAUUAGAUACCCCUGUAGUC